rnacentral:rRNA from 1 species
CAGGAUGUGAANUCCCCGGGCUCAACCUGGGAACUGCGUUNUGAACUGGGUGACUAGAGUGUNUCAGAGGGAGGUAGAAUUCCACGUGUAGCAGUGAAAUGCGUAGAGAUGUGGAGGAAUACCGAUGGCGAAGGCAGCCUCCUGGGAUANCACUGACGUUCAUGCUCGAAAGCGUGGGUAGCAAACAGGAUUAGAUACCCUGGUAGUNCACGCCCUAAACGAUGUCAAUUAGCUGUUGGGCAACUUGAUUGCUUAGUAGCGUAGCUAACGCGUGAAAUUGACCGCCUGGGGAGUACGGUCGCAAGAUUAAAACUCAAAGGAAUUGACGGGGACCCGCACAAGCGGUGGAUGAUGUGGAUUAAUUCGAUGCAACGCGAAGAACCUUACCUGGUCUUGACAUGUACGGAAUCCUCCAGAGACGGAGGAGUGCCUUCGGGAGCCGUAACACAGGUGCUGCAUGGCUGUCGUCAGCUCGUGUCGUGAGAUGUUGGGUUAAGUCCCGCAACGAGCGCAACCCUUGUCAUUAGUUGCCAUCAUUUAGUUGGGCACUCUAAUGAGACUGCCGGUGACAAGCCGGAGGAAGGUGGGGAUGACGUCAAGUCCUCAUGGCCCUUAUGACCAGGGCUUCACACGUCAUACAAUGGUCGGUACAGAGGGUAGCCAAGCCGCGAGGUGGAGCCAAUCUCACAAAACCGAUCGUAGUCCGGAUUGCACUCUGCAACUCGAGUGCAUGAAGUCGGAAUCGCUAGUAAUCGCAGGUCAGCAUACUGCGGUGAAUACGUUCCCGGGUCUUGUACACACCGCCCGUCACACCAUGGGAGUGGGGGAUACCAGAAGUAGGUAGGGUAACCGCA